rnacentral:rRNA from 1 species
CCUACGGGGGCAGCAGUGGGGAAUAUUGGACAAUGGGCGAAAGCCUGAUCCAGCCAUGCCGCGUGUGUGAAGAAGGCCUUCGGGUUGUAAAGCACUUUCAGUGGGGAAGAAAGCCUUGGGGCUAAUACCCUCGAGGAAGGACAUCACCCACAGAAGAAGCACCGGCUAACUCCGUGCCAGCAGCCGCGGUAAUACGGAGGGUGCGAGCGUUAAUCGGAAUUACUGGGCGUAAAGCGCGCGUAGGCGGUCUGAUAAGCCGGUUGUGAAAGCCCCGGGCUCAACCUGGGAACGGCAUCCGGAACUGUCAGGCUAGAGUGCAGGAGAGGAAGGUAGAAUUCCCGGUGUAGCGGUGAAAUGCGUAGAGAUCGGGAGGAAUACCAGUGGCGAAGGCGGCCUUCUGGACUGACACUGACGCUGAGGUGCGAAAGCGUGGGUAGCAAACAGGAUUAGAUACCCUUGUAUC